rnacentral:rRNA from 1 species
AGGACGAACGCUGGCGGCGUGCUUAACACAUGCAAGUCGAGCGGUAAGGCCUUUCGGGGUACACGAGCGGCGAACGGGUGAGUAACACGUGGGUGAUCUGCCCUGCACUUCGGGAUAAGCCUGGGAAACUGGGUCUAAUACCGGAUAUGACCUCCUAUCGCAUGGUGGGUGGUGGAAAGUAUUUAUCGGUGCAGGAUGGGCCCGCGGCCUAUCAGCUUGUUGGUGGGUAAUGGCCUACCAAGGCGACG